ACGUACACUCCUGCGGGAGGCAGCAGUGGGGAAUAUUGGACAAUGGGCGCAAGCCUGAUCCAGCCAUGCCGCGUGAGUGAUGAAGGCCCUAGGGUUGUAAAGCUCUUUCACCGGUGAAGAUAAUGACGGUAACCGGAGAAGAAGCCCCGGCUAACUUCGUGCCAGCAGCCGCGGUAAUACGAAGGGGGCUAGCGUUGUUCGGAUUUACUGGGCGUAAAGCGCACGUAGGCGGACUAUUAAGUCAGGGGUGAAAUCCCGGGGCUCAACCCCGGAACUGCCUUUGAUACUGGUAGUCUUGAGUUCGGGAGAGGUGAGUGGAAUUCCGAGUGUAGAGGUGAAAUUCGUAGAUAUUCGGAGGAACACCAGUGGCGAAGGCGGCUCACUGGCUCGAUACUGACGCUAAGGUGCGAAAGCGUGGGGAGCAAACAGGAUUAGAAACCCUAGUAGUCCC
rnacentral:rRNA from 1 species